rnacentral:rRNA from 1 species
GAAAGAAUAUCGGAGACGGAUGGGCAUGCGGCGCAUUAGCUAGUUGGCGGGGUAACGGCCCACCAAGGCGACGAUGCGUAGGGGUUCUGAGAGGAAGGUCCCCCACACUGGUACUGAGACACGGACCAGACUCCUACGGGAGGCAGCAGUGAGGAAUAUUGGUCAAUGGGCGAGAGCCUGAACCAGCCAAGUCGCGUGAGGGAGUACUGCCCUAUGGGUUGUAAACCUCUUUUGUCGGGGAGCAAAAGCCGGACGUGUCCGGCCGUGAGAGUACCCGAAGAAAAAGCAUCGGCUAACUCCGUGCCAGCAGCCGCGGUAAUACGGAGGAUGCGAGCGUUAUCCGGAUUUAUUGGGUUUAAAGGGUGCGCAGGCGGAUUUUUAAGUCAGCGGUCAAAUCGUGGGGCUCAACCCCAUCCAGCCGUUGAAACUGGGGAUCUAGAGUGUGCGAGAGGUAUGCGGAAUGCGUGGUGUAGCGGUGAAAUGCAUAGAUAUCACGCAGAACCCCGAUUGCGAAGGCAGCAUACCGGUGCACAACUGACGCUCAGGCACGAAAGCGUGGGUAUCGAACAGGAUUAGAUACCCUGGUAGUCCACGCAGUAAAC